rnacentral:lncRNA from 1 species
GGUCUUUUCCCUGUGGGGUUGAGUUCGCUCGGUUUCUCGCUCCUGCUCGCGGGGGGGCCGGGGCCGGGGCGCGGGCGACAGAGCCUUUCUCACUUCUCAAAGAUGUUCGCGGGAAGCGUAACUGCAGGGCGGCGGGCGGCUGCGCUCACACAAGCAUUGGGGCGGGCGCUGUGGCCGGGUGUUGGGGGAUUGGGCCGGAGGCCCGAGGACCAUGUGCAUGUUUGUCGGGAGCCUGAAGUCCCUGCAGGUCAGGGCCCUGCCCCAGGCUAGCCGCUGGGAGUGAGCAGCCCCGAGAGAAGCGGGUAAGCGGGCUGCCUGCACCCGAGGGCGCGGAACAGGGUUCGUAGUGGGAUUGCGAGGGGAGCUUGCUCGGCUCUCAUGAUGAUUAUGUAUAAAAUGUCGUCAGAAGCGAGAAAUGACGAAUUUAACGCCGAUCUGACCGCAGUCGCUGAAACCGACUUCAGGUAUGGUAACUGCCAAAAUGCUUCCUAAGUGCACGUUCUAUUCCAUAUUUCAGGUGGCAGGCCCGCUCAGGGCUUUGGGAACCGGAGCAGCAUCCUUCCUCGAGGUAAGGGCCAGUCGGGGCAGGGCUUGGCAGGUAACCUAGCUGUUUUAAUCUCAAAUGCACUGACCUUGACGUCUACUUCGUCGCCGUGACAUAAUUAUGAACCGCCUCCUUGCCUAACUGCAACGUUAGGCGGUUGCAGGCUUCUGGUCUGACACUGGUUAUGUCUAAGGAGCAUCUGUAUCGAGGAGCAAUUGUGUCAGAAUGCCUCCCUGCAGGCUGUAUUUUAGGGUGGUUUGGAGAGUCAGGGCUUUGGCGUGGUGAGGUACUUGGCUGCUCUGAUGAAAUCACUAAUAGGAAGUGCCGUCAGAAGCGAUAACUGACGAUAAUAACUCCUGGCUGACUGCAGUCGAGCCCUCACAAGUAGCUGGUGCCCAGGAGUAAGUUGGUCUGGGCUGUGACCUGGAAUUUUUUGUUCACCCAGGCUGCAGAUUACCAAGGUGCCAGCAUGUGAUCACCAACAGCUGAGCAUGGCCUGCUCAGAAGGUGCCUCGUGUGCAUCCCACCAGGUGUUGAGCGCUGAAGAAUGAUCAGCAGAGCAGAGUUUUAAAGCUGCCAGCGGUGGCCCAGAGACCUCAGCCCAAGAAGAGGUAAGAUUUGAUCUGAACAGUAACCACCACCCUAUGGUAGAAUGCCUAAGCAGCUAGUUUUGUUAAAAUUGGUUUGAAGAAAAAGAUAUCAAAUGAUGAAAUAACCCAAAAAAGCUGGAAUUACCGGCAGAUGGUACAGUGGUGAACCUAUGGUUUUCUGAAGAUAUCUUUUAUGCUGUGAUUGACUUCUUGGAGUAUAAAGUAAGAUUGAUGGAUCUGAGUUUCUUUACAGGCUGUGCUACAGCAGAGGCAGAAUUCGAAGGCCCAAGGACCAGUCCUGGCCAUCCAUCCACUUGGACUCUGAAAACCGGGCCUUGACAGUUGGUGUAGAAAUGAUGCUCACCUCGUGCUGAGGGGACAUAAUUGCCACUGAGGGAACCAAGAAAUGGACUUGUCAACCUUUCCCUGGGACAGGCACUUUCGGUGUUAGUAGAUUCAUGAGUUUUUCAUCAUCGUCUCUUAACCAAAAGGAGCUUUUGCAUUUUAAAAUACUGUAAAUUUGUUAUAUUUGGUGUUUUAAACUGGAAAUGUCAAAAUGUCCAUGCAGUUACAGUAAACACAA